GCAUAUCAAUAAGCGGAGGAAAAGAAACCAACCGGGAUUGCCUCAGUAACGGCGAGUGAAGCGGCAAGAGCUCAAAUUUGAAAUCUGGCCCCUCCGGGGUCCGAGUUGUAAUUUGCAGAGGAUGCUUCGGAUGCGGCCCCCGUCUAAGUCCCCUGGAACGGGGCGUCGGAGAGGGUGAGAAUCCCGUCUGGGACGGGGUGUCCGCGUCCGUGUGAAGCUCCUUCGACGAGUCGAGUUGUUUGGGAAUGCAGCUCUAAAUGGGUGGUAAAUUUCAUCUAAAGCUAAAUACUGGCCGGAGACCGAUAGCGCACAAGUAGAGUGAUCGAAAGAUGAAAAGCACUUUGAAAAGAGAGUUAAAAAGCACGUGAAAUUGUUGAAAGGGAAGCGUAUGCGACCAGACUCGCCGGCGGGGUUCAACCGGGAUUCGUCCCGGUGUACUUCCCCGCCGGCGGGCCAGCGUCGGUUUGGGCGGCCGGUCAAAGGCCUCCGGAAUGUAUCGCCCCCCGGGGCGUCUUAUAGCCGGAGGUGCAAUGCGGCCUGCCCGGACCGAGGAACGCGCUUCGGCACGGACGCUGGCAUAAUGGUCGUAUAUGACCCGUCUUGAAACACGGACCAAGGAGUCUAACAUCUAUGCGAGUGUUCGGGUGUCAAACCCGUACGCGCAGUGAAAGCGAACGGAGGUGGGAACCCCUCGGGGCGCACCAUCGACCGAUCCUGAUGUCUUCGGAUGGAUUUGAGUAAGAGCAUAGCUGUUGGGACCCGAAAGAUGGUGAACUAUGCCUGAAUAGGGCGAAGCCAGAGGAAACUCUGGUGGAGGCUCGCAGCGGUUCUGACGUGCAAAUCGAUCGUCAAAUUUGGGUAUAGGGGCGAAAGACUAAUCGAACCAUCUGGUAGCUGGUCUGC
rnacentral:rRNA from 1 species